rfam:Pteropus alecto contig40883, whole genome shotgun sequence.
CGCAGCCGUGUCAAAUUCGGUGCCUGCCCACCCAUGGCCGGCGCUGGCCCGAAAGGCUGCCAUAGAAGCACUGUGACUCAUGGGCCCUGAGCCCGUUCCCUGGGCCUCAGGGAUAGAUUCGGUUACAGACACCA